GACGAACGCUGGCGGCGUGCUUAACACAUGCAAGUCGAACGGUAAGGCCCUUCGGGUACGACGAGUGGCGAACGGGUGAGUAACACGUGGUGAUCUGCCCUGCACUUCGGGAUAAGCCUGGGAAACUGGGUCUAAUACCGGAUAGGACCAUGGACUUCACGGUUUGUGGUGGAAAGCUUUUGCGGUGUGGGAUGGGCCCGCGGCCUAUCAGCUUGUUGGUGGGGUAAAUGGCCUACCAAAGGCGACGACGGGUAGCCGGCCUGAGAGGGUGUCCGGCCACACUGGGACUGAGAUACGGCCCAGACUCCUACGGGAGGCAGCAGUGGGGAAUAUUGCACAAUGGGCGCAAGCCUGAUGCAGCGACGCCGCGUGAGGGAUGACGGCCUC
rnacentral:rRNA from 1 species